rnacentral:rRNA from 1 species
CCCUUAGAUGUUCUGAACCGCACGCGUGUUACACUGAUGCAUUCAACGAGCUUUACCUUGGCCGAGAGGCCUGGGAAAUCUUUUUAGCAUGCAUCGUGAUAGGGAUUGAUUAUUGCAAUUAUUAAUCAUGAACGAGGAAUUCCUAGUAAACGCAUUUCAUCAAAAUGCAUUGAUUACGUCCCUGCCCUUUGUACACACCGCCCGUCGCACCUACCGAUUGAGUGGUCCGGUGAAGUCUCGAGAUUGUGGCAAUCUCCUUUAUUGGAGUUUGACUGCGAGAACUUGCCUAAACCUUAUCACUUAGAGGAAGGUGAAGUCGUAAC